rnacentral:rRNA from 1 species
GACGAACGCUGGCGGCGUGCUUAACACAUGCAAGUCGAACGGAAAGGCCCUGCUUUUGUGGGGUGCUCGAGUGGCGAACGGGUGAGUAACACGUGAGUAACCUGCCCUUGACUUUGGGAUAACUUCAGGAAACUGGGGCUAAUAUCGGAUAGGAGCUCCUGCUGCAUGGUGGGGGAUGGAUAGUUUCGGCGGUUGGGGCUGGACUCGCGGCUUAUCAGCUUGUUGGUGGGGUAGUGGCUUACCAAGGCUUAGACGGGUAGGCGGCCUGAGAGGGUGAACGGCGACAAUGGGACUGAGGGACGGCGCAGACGGGAACGGUGGGCAGCAGGGGGGAGUCUGGCACAAUGGGCGCAAGUGUGAGACGGCGACGCUGCGUGCGUAAUGACGGCCUUCGGGUUGUGAACCGCUUUCGCCUGUGACGGGGCGGUAGUGACGGUAACGGGUAAAGAAGCACCGGCUAACUACGUG